AACGAACGCUGGCGGCAUGCCUAACACAUGCAAGUCGAACGAGACCUUCGGGUCUAGUGGCGCACGGGUGCGUAACGCGUGGGAAUCUGACCUUUGGUUCGGAAUAACAGUUGGAAACGACUGCUAAUACCGGAUGAUGACGAAAGUCCAAAGAUUUAUCGCCAGAGGAUGAGCCCGCGUAGGAUUAGCUAGUUGGUGUGGUAAAGGCGCACCAAGGCGACGAUCCUUAGCUGGUCUGAGAGGAUGAUCAGCCACACUGGGACUGAGACACGGCCCAGACUCCUACGGGAGGCAGCAGUGGGGAAUAUUGGACAAUGGGCGAAAGCCUGAUCCAGCAAUGCCGCGUGAGUGAUGAAGGCCUUAGGGUUGUAAAGCUCUUUUACCCGGGAUGAUAAUGACAGUACCGGGAGAAUAAGCUCCGGCUAACUCCGUGCCAGCAGCCGCCGUAA
rnacentral:rRNA from 1 species